UACAGAGGACUGCAAGCGUUAUUCGGAUUCGACUGGGCGUAAAGGGUGCGCAGGCGGUCGGGUGUGUCAGAUGUGAAAUCCCGAGGCUCAACCUCGGAACUGCGUCUGAAACUACUCGACUAGAGUACUGGAGAGGGUAACGGAAUUCACGGUGUAGCAGUGAAAUGCGUAGAUAUCGUGAGGAACACCAGAGGCGAAGGCGGUUACCUGGACAGUUACUGACGCUCAGGCACGAAAGCAUGGGGAGCAAAAGGG
rnacentral:rRNA from 1 species